rnacentral:lncRNA from 1 species
GGUUAACAGCAAAUAGACAAUGCAUGACAAUAUAAAACACUUAUUCAUCUUAAUAGACCGUUGUUGAUAGCUUUAUCUGUGUGUUGGCGUUUCAUUUUAUGACAGUUUAUUUCAAUGCUUUUUGAUAACUCGAUCAUUAAUGACUGUCAUAUUUCGCCUGAAGGAAACCGACUACCGUAAUGGAUGCCAUUCUAUUUAAUACAAUUACCAUAGAGAUAUCUUACAAAUUAAAGAUAAUUAUCAGAAUCUAUAAAAUACCACAUCCUUUAUAUCAAGAAUGUCGUUAUCGUGGUCAGGAAUAUGAUUUUGUUGAUCAAUUUUGACCAUAAUUCUACAGCCC